CCAGUGGGGUACCUCAGGGAUCUGUACUUGGACCCAUUCUCUUUAAUAUUUUUUAUUAGUGAUACUGCAGAUUGAUGGUGCUGAUGAUACUAAGAUAUGUAACAGGGUUGAUGUUCCAGGAGGGAUAAGCCAAAUGGCAAAUGAUUUAGGUAAACUAGAAAAAUGUCAGAGUUGUGACAACUGACAUUUAAUGUGGAUAAAUGCAAGAUAAUGUAUCUUGGACGUAAAAACCCAAGGGCAGAGUACAAAAUAUUUGUUAAAGUCCUAACCUCAACAUCUGAGGAAAGGGAUUUAGGGGUGAUUAUUUCUGAUGACUUAAAGGUAGGCAGACAAUGUAAUAGAGAAGCAGGAAAUGCUAGCAGAAUGCUUGGUUGUAUAGGGAGAGGCAUUAGCAGUAGAAAGAGGGAAGUGCUCAUGCCAUUGUACAGAACAGUGGUGAGACCUCACUUGGAGCAUUGUACGCAGUACUGGAGACCGUAUCUUCAGAUGGAUAUUUAGAGAGAGUUCAGAGAAGGGCUACUAAACUGGUUCAUGGAUUGCAGGAUAAAACUUACCAGGAAAGAUUAAAGGAUCUUAACAUGUAUAGCUUGGAGGAAAUACGAGACGGGGGGAUAUGACAGAAACAUUUAAAUACAUAAAGGGAAUCAACACAGUAAAGGAGGAGACCAUAUUUAAAAGAAGAAAAACUACCACAACAAGAGGACAUAGUCUUAAAUUAGAGCGGCAAAGGUUUAAAAAUAAUAUCAGGAAGUAUUACUUUACUGAGAGGGUAGUGGAUGCAUUUUCAGCUGAAAUGGUAGAGGUUAACACAGUAAAGGAGUUUAAGCAUGUGUAAUGAUAUUGAUGUUACAAAGUUUUGGAGUCCAGUAGCCAGAUCAGCAAUGUUUUCUGCCAGAGGUAGCCACUCGUUACCCAGGUGGUUGAGCCGCUGAGCCUUGAGUGGCCUUCUGGUCUUAAGCAGAGAUGGGAG